AACUGGAGGACCAUAGAAGUCCCUUCUAACUCUCAAAUGCAAUGAUUCUCUAACUUGCAGUCAGAAAAAUUGGAUUAUAAUCCCAGUUCAGUCGUUUAACUUGUUGCAAGGAUUCUGAGAUCUCAGGGACAAAAAAGAAAUAUUUAACUUUCAAGGAGCUAUUAACAAUGCUUAUUUUACAGAUGAAGUAACUGGGGCAAACAGGGUUAAGUGACCUGCCCAGGGAAGCACAGCUAAUAAGUGUGUGAGGCCAGAUUUGAACUCUGGAAUACGACUAUUCCUGACUCCAGACCCAGUGUCCUAACCUUUGCAAAACCUAGUGGCAUGUUACAAGAUAUGAAGACUCUUUUAAACAUAAAAGUUACAUCUGUUUCUACUGACCGUGAUCCUGAGUUCCUGUUUCCUAUUUGUUAUCUUCGUUACUGA
rnacentral:lncRNA from 1 species